CAGAAAGUCAGGGGCCCAUGUCAUUCUGCUCUGGGUUCAGACGUGCACUGCAGCAGCACCGGGACUUGACAGCCCUACGGCUCGAUCAGCUUUCUGUUUUCAUUGCCUUACGAUGCCAUGAGUGGAACUAUUGUCAAAUCAGAGUUCACUCCCCAGCUUUUCAGUCUUUCCCCUAAUUCUUGCUCUAUCAGAGGUCGAGGACAACAGUAUAAUGAUUCAUAGGUUCUACUUCCUGGCAAGUAAUCAUUUUCCCACGGGCCCUUGUGAAUUGAUGAAUAUGAAGACACUAAGAAAGCAGAAAUAGAACUGAGAAGAAUGAAAUAACUGUCUCUACCUUUCUCGAAUUGUCUAAUAUGGAAAGAAUGAAAGACAGCUAAUAAGCAACUCUCUGCAAGAAGACAUAUGGCUUAGGUUCUGCUGAGCUAUUGGUGAUUUGAUUCCAUGCAUAUGUAUUCACUACUGAAUCUACUUGGAGAGAGUCAAACACAGAAUCCCUUUGAAUUUAAUGGCCAUUCCAGGUGAUUUGAACAGCCAAAUAAGAAACAGGUCCUCUUCAAUGUACAAUCUGCCAAGUAUGAAGUCUGAAUGACCAUCAUUAUUAUGUAUUUAAUGUGCAUAGAAAAUCUAUCUGCAACCUUCCAGAGUGUACCAGAAGUUUGGAAUGUACAUUAUUAUUGGCUCCAUCUCAAACCACUCAUAAAUCAAAGAAAAUAGCAGUUCCAGAGGAAUCAUCAUAGAGGCUUCUAGGCCCCCAUGCUGUGUGAACCUGGUGAGAAAGGGAAGUCUGCUCUCACUGGACACUGGAACUGUUUGUCUCUGUCUCUGCUGUACUUUCCCUGCCUCUACCUCACUUAGUAAAGAAAUCAUCUUUGCUUGAUAACUAAAACAACCAAUAAGGCUGAGAAAGGGGAAAACCCACAUCUGGAUUUAAAUACAAGGUAUUGGGCCAGCUGCUGGGGAUUAAACUUUGAACAAAACAGAUAGAAUCUAUGUCCUCAUGGGAGUGGCUAAUGGGAGAGUCGGAACAAAAAAAUAGCCAAGGAUAAUCCAGCAAAUGAUUUGGUGAAUGCUAUCAAAGAGAGAAAUACACAUGCUCUGGGAACACCAAGAAUAAACGAGAGAAAGGGACAUUAAUAUAUAUUGAAUAUCUGCUGUGUCAGGCACCUUACAUAUAUUGAUUGCUUCUUCACUUCUUUUAAUCUUUACUACACCACAUGAGGCUGUCAUAGAGAUUCUGAGG
rnacentral:lncRNA from 1 species